AACGGGACAUAUUAUGGGAGCAUGUGAGGUUGGCAACGGACAGGUGGCAUCCACAGAAGUUGUCUUAAGGAGUCUUUAUCCAGUGAUCACCAGACUUGGUCACAAUGUUUAGGAGCAAAUUAUUUUGGCCAUGUUCGGCUCUGGUAUGUGUUGUGUCAGUUGACCCAUCUGAUUCUAUACCAGUACUGAUCUGUUCUCCACAGGAAACUGGCAAUUUCCCUUAGCUGAUAAAUGACUACAGACACAUUUAGUAGAAAACACACCUUGACACAACAGGAGACUGAACUUGUGACCCUAGUAUUCAUAGAUCUACCUUCUGAGAUAAAGAGGUCCAGCCCCUCAAUUUCUGGAGAUACCAAGAGAAUAUUUUGAGGACUCAAUGGAAAAGUGUAAACACGUUGCAAGAUCCUAACCAUACAAGAAAUGGAAACUUCAUUGUAGAUAUAUUUUGGUGCAUAAGAUGAUCUAGUAUUUCAUAUCAGAAGUGACUGGGUAACUUAUAGUCUUGAGAAAGGGUCUUUGUUGAUCAGGAUGGUAGAUCAGAAUGAAACCAGAGCCCCAAGAGAAAGAUGAAGCAGGCCAGAAGACAGAUAACAAAGCAAGCUCAGUACUGAUUGGCUUUUACAACUCAUAGAGUGUUCCACCUGUUCAGUCAGAUGUAAUGAAAGAGGAAACCAUAGG